UACGAAAGGGGCAAGCGUUGUCCGGAAUUAUUGGGCGCAAAGGGCGCGUAGGCGGAUUAUUAAGUCUGGUGUGAAAGAUCAGGGCUCAACCCUGAGAGUGCAUCUGAAACUGGUGAUCUUGAGGACAGGAGAGGAAAGUGGAAUUCCACGUGUAGCGGUGAAAUGCGCAGAUAUGUGGAUGAACAGCGGUGGCGAAGGCGACUUACUGGACUGUAACUAAAUCUGAGGGGCGGAAGCGUGGGGAGAAAACAGG
rnacentral:rRNA from 1 species